GGUGGGGAUGACGUCAAGUCCUCAUGGCCUUUAUGUCCAGGGCUACACACGUGCUACAAUGGUCGGUACAAACCGUCGCAAACCCGUGAGGGGGAGCUAAUCGGAAAAAGCCGGCCUCAGUUCGGAUUGGAGUCUGCAACUCGACUCCAUGAAGCUGGAAUCGCUAGUAAUCGCAGAUCAGAACGCUGCGGUGAAUACGUUCCCGGGCCUUGUACACACCGCCCGUCACAUCACGAAAGUGGACUGCACUAGAAGCCGGCGUGCCAACCGCAAGGGGGUAGCCGUCCAAGGUAU
rnacentral:rRNA from 1 species